rnacentral:rRNA from 1 species
AGAGUUUGAUCCUGGCUCAGAAUGAACGCUGGCGGCGUGCUUAACACAUGCAAGUCGAACGAGAAAGUGGGCUUCGGUCCAUGAGUAGAGUGGCGCACGGGUGAGUAACACGUGGGUAAUCUACCCCUCAAUUUGGGAUAACAUUGCGAAAGUGAUGCUAAUACCGAAUAACAUCCAUAAAGCUUUGGUUUAAUGGAUCAAAGGUGGCCAAUCCUUGGAAGCUACUGUUGGGGGAUGAGCCCGCGUACCAUUAGCUAGUUGGUAGGGUAAUGGCCUACCAAGGCGACGAUGGUUAGCUGGUCUGAGAGGAUGAUCAGCCACACUGGAACUGACACACGGUCCAGACUCCUACGGGAGGCAGCAGUGAGGAAUUUUGCGCAAUGGGGGCAACCCUGACGCAGCAACGCCGCGUGAGUGAUGAAGGCCUUUGGGUCGUAAAACUCUGUCAGCAGGAAAGAAAUUACAUGUGGUUAAUACCCAUGUGUAUUGACGGUACCUGCAAAGGAAGCACCGGCUAACUCCGUGCCAGCAGCCGCGGUAACACGGAGGGUGCAAGCGUUAUUCGGAAUUAUUGGGCGUAAAGGGCGCGUAGGCGGCCGAACAGGUCAGGUGUGAAAGCCCGGGGCUUAACCCCGGAAGUGCAUUUGAAACCUUUUGGCUUGAGUAUGGGAGAGGAGAGCGGAAUUCCUGGUGUAGAGGUGAAAUGCGUAGAGAUGUGGAGGAACACCGAUGGCGAAGGCAGCCCCCUGGGCCAAUACUGACGCUCAUGCACGAAAGCGUGGGUAGCAAACAGGAUUAGAUACCCUGGUAGUCC